UAUUUCAUAAUCUGUUUUCAGAAGACAGCUGUCCACCUCUGAAACUGUUGACCAGUGACUGUGCAACAAUAGAUUACUAUUUACCUGAUGAAACGUUUCGUCAGAUGUUACGUCAGGCUUGUAACUGGCAUGACGUCUGCUACACAUGCGGUAAAACUUUCGGCUUAACUUCGGACGAAUGCGAUGAGGGAUUUCUUGAAGAGGGCGCCACCUUAUGCCAAGGUGAUCAGCCUUGUGAAACAAUUACCCGCCUUAUCCUCCAGCCUCUGCAAGAGUCGAAAAUAUUCUUCAGGCACAGCGUUCCACAGAUGUGUUAUCGAGAUAACUGCGUUGAAGAGUUUUUGAGAGGGCGCUAGUUAUCUAAUGUUUUCGUGCACAAAAACAAAACAAAAUAAAAACAACUAAAUAUUAUCCACUAUAUUAUUGUUGUUGGCUUAGAUGCAGAAACGUCCGUAAAAUCUCCAUCCCUAAAUAACUUGUUUUGUUUACUAUUAAGAUUUUGUCAUUCAAACCUACAGUAAUGUGAAAAUGUAGCCUAACACAAUUUACUUAAUGAAAUUAUUUGUUGGAUUUAGUCUCUAGGAUAAUUUUUAAGUAAGACUGUACUAAUUUUGGCAUUCUGUAAAGUUAUGAUGUUCUCUCCUUGAAUGAAAAGAAAAAAGAUGUUUGUGAUGUAUGUUAUCUCCCGUUAUUGUGUAGACUUUUGUUUUACAUCUUUACCUUGUUUAAGUGUUCAGGGUGAAAUAAAUUAUUAUCGUCAAAAGAUGCUUGAAUUAUGCGUGUAUUAUAUAUACAUAUAUAUGUAGGCGUGGGACAUUGGUGCAAUAGAAAAAUGUUAUAAUUAUCAUAUGAUUUUUAAUGUGCUGUUUUCAAUUGUGCUUACUGUGAUUUGUUUCAUAUUUAUUAGGACGUGAGCUUAUUUAGAUUAAUAUAAGUUGAAACACGCGUAACGAGAAUUGUAGAAAAAAAGAAUAAUAAAAUGAUCAUUCAGAG